rnacentral:rRNA from 1 species
UUCGGGGACAGUGGUGACAGGUGGUGCAUGGUUGUCGUCAGCUCGUGUCGUGAGAUGUUGGGUUAAGUCCCGCAACGAGCGCAACCCUUGUUCUUAGUUGCCAUCAUUUAGUUGGGCACUCUAAGGAGACUGCCGGUGAUAAACCGGAGGAAGGUGGGGAUGACGUCAAAUCAUCAUGCCCCUUAUGACCUGGGCUACACACGUGCUACAAUGGACGGUACAAACGGUUGCCAACCCGCGAGGGGGAGCUAAUCCGAUAAAACCGUUCUCAGUUCGGAUUGUAGGCUGCAACUCGCCUACAUGAAGCCGGAAUCGCUAGUAAUCGCGGAUCAGCAUGCCGCGGUGAAUACGUUCCCGGGCCUUGUACACACCGCCCGUCACACCACGAGAGUUUGUAACACCCGAAGUCGGUGGGGU